UACGGAGGAGGCAAGCGUUAUCCGGAAUUAUUGGGCGUAAAGCGUCCGCAGGUGGCAAUUCAAGUCUGUGGUUAAAGACUGGGGCUUAACCCUGGAAAGGCCAUGGAAACUGAAUAGCUAGAGUGCAGUAGGGGUAGAGGGAAUUCCCGGUGUAGCGGUGAAAUGCGUAGAGCUCGGGAAGAACAUCGGUGGCGAAAGCGCUCUGCUGGACUGCAACUGACACUCGAGGGAACGAAAGGC
rnacentral:rRNA from 1 species